CACGUAGGGCGCGAGCGUUGUCCGGAAUUAUUGGGCGUAAAGAGCUCGUAGGCGGCCUGUUGCGUCCGCUGUGAAAGCCCGGGGCUUAACCCCGGGUCGGCAGUGGAUACGGGCAGGCUAGAGGUAGGUAGGGGGGAAUGGAAUUCCCGGUGUAGCGGUGAAAUGCGCAGAUAUCGGGAGGAACACCGGUGGCGAAGGCGGUUCUCUGGGCCUUACCUGACACUGAGGAGCGAAAGCGUGGGGAGCGAACAGG
rnacentral:rRNA from 1 species